rnacentral:rRNA from 1 species
UACGUAGGGGGCAAGCGUUGUCCGGAUUUAUUGGGCGUAAAGAGCUCGUAGGCGGUUUGGUAAGUCUGGUGCGAAAUCUCCACGCUCAACGUGGAGGGGCCACCCGAUACUGCCAUGACUGGAGUCCGGUAGAGGAGUGUGGAAUUCCCGGUGUAGCGGUGAAAUGCGCAGAUAUCGGGAGGAACACCCGUAGCGAAGGCGGCACUCUGGGCCGGUACUGACGCUGAGGAGCGAAAGCGUGGGGAGCAAACAGG